GGUGUAGCUGUUCAGCACUAAAGUAAACAAACUGUGAUGUACUUCAGGGGGACCCCCAGUACCUCCUAUACUACCACCUUUACUUUGUGAAAUACUGAGUGCUACCUCACAGGAUGUGAUCACAUGAUGCAGGGACACUCCCACCUGCAACUCUUCAUACUUUAUGAGGCUCUGCAGUCCCUGUCAGACAUCAUGGACGUGAUCAUCUUUAAACACAGCUUCCUCACAGUGUCCAUCUUUUUACUGUGGACUACAGGUCUAACUGAUGGAAGCGAUGUCACCCAGACUGACAUCCUGUGGGGAACACAGGGAGAGAGUGCAACCAUGAGCUGCAACCACACAAAGGAUGCUAGCUACUUCCAGAUGUACUGGUACAGACAGCUGCCAGGAGAAACUAUGGAGCUAAUCGUGUUCACAAUAUCAGGGAACAAUGAUAAUCAUGAUUUUGGAGAAUUCGGCAAAGACAAGUUCUCAGCCACAAAGCCUAGCGCUGAGAGCGGGACGUUCACAGUGAAGGGUCUGCAGCCAGGAGACAAAGGCUUGUACUUCUGUGCUGUGAGUCAACACAGUGACUCACACACAGGAGGAGGCUGAACAAAAACCCCUCUGUUGGUGUCACAUGAAUAAAAGAGAUCAGUGAGUUCAGUUAUCUGCAGGUGGAGCUCGACACUGCAGACUGGUUCUUAGUAUGCAGUGUCAUUAGUGACUUGUUGUCAAAGUGAAUGAGAAAUCACAGGCAAUACAUAGACAUUGUUCUCCAUACUGCUGAGCAUGUUUCCGGAUGUUUGUAGGAUUUCAUUCAGUUCAGAGCUUAUUUGAUAUCAUCAUGUGAACAGUGACAUUUAUAGACAUAUACUUGUCAAUUGUGUUUUGUGUUAAAUUGUUUUUAAUGUGCCUUUGUGACUCUUUUCCUCUCCCCUGUUUCACAGUUCAAUGUCUGUGCUGGGUUUUGCGACUGAGUUUAGAAUAUAAAACAUUUCAUCUAUAGAC